rnacentral:tRNA from 1 species
CAUUAAAUGACUGAAAGUAAGUUUUGAUUUUUUAAAUCAAAUAUAAUAGCACACACCUAUUUUUAAUGA